rnacentral:rRNA from 1 species
UACAGAGGUCCCAAGCGUUGUUCGGAUUCAUUGGGCGUAAAGGGUGCGUAGGUGGCGCUGUAAGUCGGGUGUGAAAUCUCGGAGCUUAACUCCGAAACUGCAUUCGAUACUGCCGUGCUUGAGGACUGGAGAGGAGACUGGAAUUUACGGUGUAGCGGUGAAAUGCGUAGAUAUCGUAAGGAAGACCAGUGGCGAAGGCGGGUCUCUGGACAGUUCCUGACGCUGAGGCACGAAGGUCAGGGGAGCAAACGGG